GAGCUUGUAGCUUAGCCUGGCUAGAGCACUGGUCUUAUAAACCAGAGGUCCGGGGUUCAAAUCCCCGCAAGCUCA
rnacentral:tRNA from 1 species